AAAACUCACGAUUGUGAAUCCGGUUCAAGUCCUUCUCACUCGCGACUGCUCUUUCGUUUCACGAACGAAAUCCCUCCCAACCCACUUUCGGGAAUUCGUAUCUGAUCCAUUUCACUCAGCGAUGGAGCGGCAGAUUUGAGAACGGAACACAUUGGACAUUCCAACUUCCUCUACAACAACCCUCAAUUCUUCGCAUUACUUGCAAUACUGACGCGGUUUCAUUCAAUUUUUUUUUUUUUUGAUGAACAGUUCCUGUUUCAUGAUCUAUAUAAAUCACGACUUCCCCGCUUGAACUUUAGCGGAGAUCACUUCCAUAACAACAGGAAAAUCGUGGAAAGUGAAGGCAGGGAGAGAGAGAUUUCGGAAGAGGAAGGUUAUACAUUGUCAAUCAUUAGUGGAUUGAAGAGUGUGUAGUGUGGCGGAGAUGAAGGGCGGUGGUGGUGGAGGGAGCGGAGCUUCUGCUUACGGAUUUCCGGCGAAAAGGAGAUGGAGAGGACUCGUGAUCGGAGUUCUUGGCCUCGUUAUUCUCUCAAUGCUUGUGCCUCUUGUGUUUUUGCUCGGUCUCUAUAAUGGGUUUCACACUGCAGGAUAUGCUUCUGACCCGCAAAAUUCAAAACCAGGAUUUCAACCUAGUCAUGUAGAUGACGUUAUCAGAAAAUUGGGACCAACUCUUCCAAAGGACGUAUUUCAGAAAUAUGCCAUUGAACCUAAGAAGGAAACUGUAGAUUUCAUACACGAGAGUCAGGAACCAAAAGCUACAGGUUUGCCACCUCCAAAAGUUGAUGCCUUACCAAAGCAUACCCACGAAAAUAGUACUAAAGUUGGCGGUAGAGUUCAACCUACCGAUCGUAUGACUGCCGUGGACGAAAGUGGAAAACCAUGUGAAUGGAAGUUUGGGAGCUAUUGUAUUUGGCGACAGGAACAUAGAGAGGUUAUUAAAGAUUCUAUGGUAAAGAAAUUGAAGGAUCAGCUUUUUGUUGCCCGAGCAUACUAUCCUACCAUUGCAAAACUUCCAACACAAAGCCAGUUAACACAAGAAAUGAAGCAAAAUAUUCAAGAGCUGGAACGUGUCUUGAGUGAAUCAACUACAGAUCUGGAUCUUCCACUACAGAUAGAGAAAAAGUCGCUGAAGAUGGAAGCUACAAUAGCCAAAGCUAAAUCAUUCCCUGUGGACUGUAAUAAUGUGGACAAAAAGUUAAGACAAAUAUUUGAUAUGACGGAGGAUGAAGCCAAUUUUCACAUGAAACAGAGUGCCUUUCUCUUCCAACUAGCUGUUCAGACCAUGCCAAAGAGCAUGCAUUGCUUGUCUAUGCAGCUAACUGUUGAAUAUUUUAGGAUUUAUUCAACCAAAUUGGAGCUCUCUCAGGCCGAGAAAUAUUCAGAUCCCACUUUGAACCAUUACAUAAUAUUCUCGAAUAAUAUACUUGCAUCAUCAGUGGUUAUCAACUCAACAGUUUCAAAUUCAAAAGAAAGUAGGAAUCAGGUUUUUCAUGUAUUGACUGAUGGACAGAAUUACUUUGCCAUGAAUCUCUGGUUUUUGAGGAAUAGUUAUGAGGAGGCAGCUGUUGAAGUAAUAAACGUUGAACAACUUAAACUUGAUGAUCAUGAAAAUGUGACUUUUGUAUUGCCUCAAGAGUUCCGUAUUUCCUUCCGUACUUUAACUCACUCCAGGACAGAAUACAUUUCAAUGUUUUCACAUUUGCACUAUCUUCUUCCUGAAAUUUUUAAGAACCUGGACAAGGUUGUGGUCCUUGAGGAUGAUGUUAUCGUUCAGCGAGACUUAUCAGCGUUGUGGAGCCUUGAUAUGGACGGAAAAGUUAAUGGUGCUGCACAGUGCUGCCAUGUGAGGUUGGGUGAGCUGAAAAGUAUUCUGGGUGAGAAUGGUUACGUUCAAAAUGAUUGUACUUGGAUGUCAGGACUGAAUGUAAUUGAUCUGGCGAAGUGGAGAGAGCUUGAUCUUUCUCAAACUUUCCGUAGUUUGGUCAGAGAGGGCGGAUCGACUGAUGCUGUUGCAUUGCGUGCAAGCUUGCUAACAUUUCAGAGCCUUAUCUAUGCCCUUGAUGAUUCAUGGUCUCUAUAUGGAUUAGGUCAUGACUACAAGCUUAAUGUCCAAGAUGUCGAGAAUGCUGCAACGUUGCAUUAUAAUGGGUAUUUGAAACCUUGGUUGGAGUUGGGUAUACCGAAAUACAAAGCUUACUGGAAGAAAUUUCUAGACAGAGAAGAUCCGUUCUUGAGCAAGUGUAACAUAAAUCCGUGAUAAGAUGAUGAUUCUACCACACCAUCUACUACAUAGAUUCCAUGAAAUCUGGAGCUCAACUCAUCAAGUAUAAUUUUCAUUGACAAAUGGGAUUCCCCUCAAUUGAUAAGUUCCCAACAGAGAACUCAUUUUUUUGGUAAAUAACUACUAGCUUCUUCCAGAUCAAGUUUGCUUGUGGUGACUUCUGAUAGCAUGAGUUUUGUGUUAUUCAAUUGGGAGUUGAUGAAGAAGAAGAGAAAGUUAUAGAGGUUUCUUUCUGUUUGUCUCCUAGUUGGGUUAUUGAAUGAGAAUCUGAGUUGGAAAGUGUGGCAAAUAAGAGAAAGAUGCACAAAGGCAAGCUAUAAUGAUAUACAUGGGAAGUUGUGGCAGCUGAAUCUUCUCAGCCUAGUAAAGUUCCAGGUGCCAAACCAGGUAUUCUCUUCUCCUUUCUUCCCUUUGAACUUCUCAGCCUAUAUUAUACGAGGUUUGUGGAAAUUGUUAAGUCAACAACUUUGAUUUUGGCCCGCGGUGCUGCUUUUGGUAUUUAUCCCAAGUCCCCUCCUGUCGAGGAUCUUUCUUGGAAAACCUGUUAGGAUUUUAGUUAUCAUGGUUGGGCGUUCUCUAUUCUUGAUGUCUUAGUUGUAGUUAGUUUGUUUCAUACCGAAGAAAUGUUGAUGCUACUACUACGAUAAGAAUGUUCUUUUUUCUUUUGCCUAGUGGUUAACGUGUAGGGGUUUUCUUGAAGUUGUAAUAAAAGAUUGCGCGUUUUUUAAUGGAAAUUUGGUGAAAUCAUGUUUGGAUUAACA